UACGAAGGGUGCAAGCGUUAUUCGGAAUCACUGGGCGUAAAGGGUGCGUAGACGGUUUGUUAAGUUUGUCGUUAAAGACUCUAGCCUAACUGGAGGGUUGCGAUGAAAACUGGCAAGCUAGAGGAUGAGAGAGAGAAGUGGAAUUCCCGGAGUAGCGGUAAAAUGCGUGGAUCUCGGGAGGAACACCAAUGGCGAAGGCAGCUUCUUGGCUCAUUCCUGACGUUGAGGCACGAAAGCGUGGGGAGCGAACAGG
rnacentral:rRNA from 1 species